GAAUGAAAACUGACCUUUUCCAGUCCUGUGGCCACUGCUAAGUUUUUUAAUUUUUGGCUACAAUCAAGUAUAGGAUCAGGCAUACCUUAAUGUAAAUUUAGGGAGUAUUGGCAGUAUGCUGAUUAGUAGCCUCAGCUGCAGGAAAAAAGUGCUGGUUAGCAAGAGGUAGCUGCAAUUAACUUUCUACCACUUCUGUUAGCCAGGGUAGGAGAGAAUAAAGUUAAAGAAUGUCACCUUCCUUUAAUCAAGCUGCACUGCAAGUACAAAAACCUGCUCAAGUAUGCACGAAAGACCUUAAAACAAAAACAGACAGGAAAAAGGGUACAAAAAACAGCAUGUGAAUUUUGAACCUGAAUAUAACCCAAGAGUUAGUAUCAUACUCUCAGGAGACGGGCAAGUGGUUCAGUCUUGGGACAGAAUGUGAAGAGUGAGUGGCCUAGACAGCAUGAGAGAUCUCCAUAUUGAAAACUAGACAAUCUGGUCAUUAGCAGCCAGCCUUUGGGAAACUACAACAGACUAGCAGAAGGCAGACCUAAGGAAGGCUGGCCCAAACUUUAGAAACACAGUAGUAAAACUGAGUCUAGGAACUUCCGUGGUGGUCCAGUGGCCAAGACUCUGCUCCCAAUGCCGGGGACCCGGGGUUUGAUCCCUGGUCAAGGAACUAAGAGUUCGCAUGCCACAACUAAAAGAUCCUGUGUGCGGCAAUUAAGAUUUGUUGCAGUCAAAUAAAUGUAUAAAAUAAAUAAAAAUAAAUGUAUAUAUUUUAAAAUCUGAGUCUAUAUAAGUGAUACAAUCUCUAUAAAUGAUUCCCUGGUGGCUCAGAUGGUAAAGUAUCCGCCUGCAAUGCAGAAGACUGGGGUUUGAUUCCUGGGUCAGGAACAUCCCCUGGAGAAGGAAAUGNNNNNNNNNNNNNNNNNUCUUGCUUGGAGAAUCCCAUGGACAGAGGAAUCUGGCAGGCUACAGUCCACGGGGUCACAAACAGUUGGACACAGUUGAGCAAC
rnacentral:lncRNA from 1 species